AGAAAUUUAGGUUAAUGCAAGACCAAAGGCCUUCAAAGCCCUAAGCAGUGGUUAAACCCCACUAAUUUCUG
rnacentral:tRNA from 1 species